rnacentral:rRNA from 1 species
UACGUAGGGUGCAAGCGUUAAUCGGAAUUACUGGGCGUAAAGCGUGCGCAGGCGGUUUGGUGAGAAAGAUGUGAAAUCCCAGAGCUUAACUUUGGAACUGCAUUUUUAACUGCCAAGCUAGAGUAUGUCAGAGGGGGGUAGAAUUCCACGUGUAGCAGUGAAAUGCGUAGAGAUGUGGAGGAAUACCGAUGGCGAAGGCAGCCCCCUGGGAUAAUACUGACGCUCAUGCACGAAAGCGUGGGGAGCAAACAGG